UACGUAGGGUGCGAGCGUUGUCCGGAAUUAUUGGGCGUAAAGGGCUCGUAGGCGGUUUGUCGCGUCGGGAGUGAAAUCCACUGGCUUAACUGGUGGCUUGCUUUCGAUACGGGCAGACUGGGAGGUAUGCAGGGGAGAACGGAAUUCCUGGUGUAGCGGUGAAAUGCGCAGAUAUCAGGAGGAACACCGAUGGCGAAGGCAGGUCUCUGGGCCACUACUGACGCUGAGAAGCGAAAGCAUGGGGAGCGAACAGG
rnacentral:rRNA from 1 species